UGGCUCAGAUUGAACGCUGGCGGCAGGCCUAACACAUGCAAGUCGAACGGUAACAGGAAGCAGCUUGCUGCUUCGCUGACGAGUGGCGGACGGGUGAGUAAUGUCUGGGAAACUGCCUGAUGGAGGGGGAUAACUACUGGAAACGGUAGCUAAUACCGCAUAACGUCGCAAGACCAAAGAGGGGGACCUUCGGGCCUCUUGCCAUCGGAUGUGCCCAGAUGGGAUUAGCUAGUAGGUGGGGUAACGGCUCACCUAGGCGACGAUCCCUAGCUGGUCUGAGAGGAUGACCAGCCACACUGGAACUGAGACACGGUCCAGACUCCUACGGGAGGCAGCAGUGGGGA
rnacentral:rRNA from 1 species